rnacentral:rRNA from 1 species
UACGUAGGGUGCGAGCGUUGUCCGGAAUUAUUGGGCGUAAAGGGCUCGUAGGCGGUCUGUCGCGUCGGGAGUGAAAACUCAGGGCUUAACCCUGAGCCUGCUUCCGAUACGGGCAGACUAGAGGUAUGCAGGGGAGAACGGAAUUCCUGGUGUAGCGGUGGAAUGCGCAGAUAUCAGGAAGAACACCCGUGGCGAAAGCGGCUCUCUGGAACGGUACUGACGCUGAGACGCGAAAGCGUGGGGAGCGAACAGG